rnacentral:rRNA from 1 species
UACGUAGGGGGCAAGCGUUGUCCGGAUUUAUUGGGCGUAAAGAGCGUGUAGGCGGCCUGACAGGUCUGCUGUGAAAACUCGAGGCUCAACCUCGAGAUGUCGGCGGAAACCGUCUGGCUAGAGUCCGGAAGAGGAGAGUGGAAUUCCUGGUGUAGCGGUGAAAUGCGCAGAUAUCAGGAAGAACACCUAUGGCGAAGGCAGGUCUCUGGGCUGACACUGACGCUGAGGCGCGAAAGCGUGGGGAGCGAACAGG